rnacentral:rRNA from 1 species
UGAGUAACCUGCCCUUGACUCUGGGAUAAGCCUGGGAAACCGGGUCUAAUACUGGAUACGACCUUCUGGCGCAUGCCAUGUUGGUGGAAAGCUUUUGUGGUUUUGGAUGGACUCGCGGCCUAUCAGCUUGUUGGUGGGGUAAUGGCUUACCAAGGCGACGACGGGUAGCCGGCCUGAGAGGGUGACCGGCCACACUGGGACUGAGACACGGCCCAGACUCCUACGGGAGGCAG